rnacentral:rRNA from 1 species
GGAUGCGAUCAUACCAGCACUAAAGCACCGGAUCCCAUUAAAACUCCAAAGUUAAGCGUGCUUGGGCGAGAGUAGUACUAGGAUGGGUGACCUCCUGGGAAGUCCUCGUGUUGCAUUCC